GAUGAACGCUGGCGGCGUGCCUAAUACAUGCAAGUCGAGCGAACAGACGAGGAGCUUGCUCCUCUGACGUUAGCGGCGGACGGGUGAGUAACACGUGGAUAACCUACCUAUAAGACUGGGAUAACUUCGGGAAACCGGAGCUAAUACCGGAUAAUAUAUUGAACCGCAUGGUUCAAUAGUGAAAGACGGUUUUGCUGUCACUUAUAGAUGGAUCCGCGCCGCAUUAGCUAGUUGGUAAGGUAACGGCUUACCAAGGCAACGAUGCGUAGCCGACCUGAGAGGGUGAUCGGCCACCCUGGAAGUGAGACACGGUCCAGACUCCUACGGGAGGCAGCAGUAGGGAAUCUUCCGCAAUGGGCGAAAGCUUGACGGAGCAACGCCGCGUGAGUGAUGAAGGUCUUCGGAUCGUAAAACUCUGUUAUUAGGGAAGAACAAAUGUGUAAGUAACUAUGCACGUCUUGACGGUACCUAAUCAGAGAGCCACGGCUAACUACGUG
rnacentral:rRNA from 1 species